GUCUACAGCCAUACCACCCUGAAUCUGCCUGAUCUUGUCUGAUCUCAGAAGCUAAGCAGGGUUGGGCCUGGUUAGUACUUGGAUGGGUGAAAUAUAUGCAUAAUAGGCAUAUAGAAA
ensembl:rRNA 5S_rRNA 5S ribosomal RNA